rnacentral:rRNA from 1 species
AGCUUGCUCUCGGGUGACGAGUGGCGGACGGGUGAGUAAUGUCUGGGAAACUGCCUGAUGGAGGGGGAUAACUACUGGAAACGGUAGCUAAUACCGCAUAACGUCGCAAGACCAAAGAGGGGGACCUUCGGGCCUCUUGCCAUCAGAUGUGCCCAGAUGGGAUUAGCUAGUAGGUGGGGUAACGGCUCACCUAGGCGACGAUCCCUAGCUGGUCUGAGAGGAUGACCAGCCACACUGGAACUGAGACACGGUCCAGACUCCUACGGGAGGCAGCAGUGGGGAAUAUUGCACAAUGGGCGCAAGCCUGAUGCAGCCAUGCCGCGUGUAUGAAGAAGGCCUUCGGGUUGUAAAGUACUUUCAGCGGGGAGGAAGGUGUUGUGGUUAAUAACCUUGUCGAUUGACGUUACCCGCAGAAGAAGCACCGGCUAACUCCGUGCCAGCAGCCGCGGUAAUA